ACUGCUCAGUAACACGUCGAUAAUCUGCCCUUAGGUCUAUGCGAACCUCGGGAAACUGAGGCUAAACUUGAUAGGGGUUAUGAACUGGAAUGUUCUUUCCCUGAACUAAGGAUGAGUCGGCGGCAGAUUAGGUAGAUGGAGAGGUAACGGCUCACCAUGCCUAAGAUCUGUACGGGCCAUGAGAGUGGUCGCCCGGAGAGGGGUACUGAGAUACUGACCCCAGCCCUACGGGGUGCAGCAGGCGCGGAAACUUUACAAUGCACGCAAGUGUGAUAAGGGAAUCCAAAGUGCUUACGCUUUGCGUAGGCUUUUGCCAAGUCUAAACAGCUUGGAGAAUAAGUGGUGGGUAAGACUGGUGCCAGCAGCCGCGGUAACCCCAGCGCCACGAGUGGGAGUCGCUUUUAUUGGGCCUAAAGCGUCCGUAGCCUGUUUUGUAAGUCUUUUGUGAAAUUGUUAGGCUUAACCUAACAGCGCGCAAGAGAUACUGCAUUUCUAGAGACCGGGAGGAGUAUGGGGUAUUCCAUGGGGAACGGUAAAAUGUAAUAAUCCAUGGAGGACCACCAGUGGCGAAGGCGCCAUACUAGAACGGAUCUGACGGUGAGGGACGAAGGCUAGGGGAGCAAAACGGAUUAGAUACCCGAGUAGUCCUGGCAGUAAACUCUGUAUGCUAGGUGUUGCAUUUUCUUGUGAACGUGCAGUAUCGAAGUGAAGACAUUAAGCAUACCGCCUGGGUAGUACGGUCGCAAGGCUGAAACUUAAAGGAAUUGGCGGGGGAGCAC
rnacentral:rRNA from 1 species